CCUACGGGGGGCAGCAGUGGGGAAUAUUGGGCAAUGGGCGCAAGCCUGACCCAGCAACGCCGCGUGAAGGAAGAAGGCUUUCGGGUUGUAAACUUCUUUUCUCAGGGACGAAAAAAGUGACGGUACCUGAGGAAUAAGCCACGGCUAACUACGUGCCAGCAGCCGCGGUAAUACGGAGGUGGCAAGCGGUAUCCGGAUUUACUGGGUGUAAAGGGAGUGUAGGCGGGAAAGCAAGUCAGAUGUGAAAACUAUGGGCUCAACCCAUGGCCUGCAUUUGAAACUGUUGUUCUUGAGUACUGGAGAGGCAGGCGGAAUUCCGAGUGUAGCGGUGAAAUGCGUAGAUAGCAGGAGGAACACCAGUGGCGAAGGCGGCCUGCUGGACAGCAACUGACGCUGAGGCGCGAAAGCGUGGGGAGCAAACAGGAUUAGAUACCCGGGUAGUC
rnacentral:rRNA from 1 species